GGGGCCUGAGGAGAAGGUGAAGGGGGUGUUGAGGGCGUGCCCGGAACCUCCGCGUCUGAAACCUCUCUGCUCCUGAAGGUCUCCUCGCCUCAUUCACUCUUGACAGCCCUGACCCUGGAAUCUGCCCCCCACCUCCAAUUCCAUCCUUGGUGGGGGUGCAGUGGCGAGCUCACUCAGCAUUUCCUGGUCCCUGGCCUCCCCCUCUCCACCCCCAGUGGCUCAGCGGGAUGUCUCCAGGCACCCCCGACCUGGGCUUGGCCCUCUGCUUGGGGCGGAGCUUCCAGGACGUGCUGGGACCUAGGUCUGACCCCGCCCAAGGCAGAGUUGAACCCACUGUGAACUUUCAGGCAUCAGGACCCAAAAAAGGACACAAGGACACCCACAAUUAUCCCAUCAUCCUGCCUCUCUGCUCCCGCCAACCACCGGACACAAGAGGGAAAUCAUCAGCUGGGUGGAUAGAAAAUCAACUCCCUCAGACUUGGAUGGGGGCAGAGAUGGGACCUGAGAAAGCAACAUUUUCCAGAAAUGGCCUUUUAGGAGCAGGGCCAGAGGGGGUGCAGGUCUUUCCUCCACCACAGAGAACCGGGCUGGAGAAAGAAGAAAGGACCCGAAAAAGAGAUGGUGUUCCUAGUGGUUCUGACCUCAGACUCUGGAGCUAGACUGCCUGAGUUCAGGCCGAGAAAAUGGGGGUCGUGACCAACUCAGUUUACCACUCGAGGCUAUACGAGCAAACAGAAAACUGUUCUCAUGAAAGCAGGAUGUUGGAAAACUGACAACUGCAUCUGCCACCAAAGGUGCUGAGGGCAGUCACGCCUCAAGUACAGUGUUCCUUGUGAUUAUCCAAAAGAACAUCUGAAGACUGUUGUACAAAGAAAACAAUUAUAUGUACCUGUGAUUAAUCAAGCAGCUGAUCAACCGUUACCUCUCCCUCCCUGCUCUUUCUACCUAAUAUAAAUGAAGGGCUGUAGAAGCUCAAGGCUGCCUUUGC